rnacentral:rRNA from 1 species
UACAGAGGGGGCAAGCGUUGUUCGGAAUUACUGGGCGUAAAGGGCGCGUAGGUGGCCUUCUAAGUCGAACGUGAAAUCCCUGGGCUCAACCCAGGAACUGCGUCCGAUACUGGAAGGCUUGAAUCCGGGAGAGGGAUGCGGAAUUCCAGGUGUAGCGGUGAAAUGCGUAGAUAUCUGGAGGAACACCGGUGGCGAAGGCGGCAUCCUGGACCGGCAUUGACGCUGAGGCGCGAAAGCUAGGGGAGCAAACAGG